rnacentral:lncRNA from 1 species
CCUUUCAUUUUGCUGGAUUGCCACAACAUACUGCUAGGUGUCACUGGUGGAUUAUGAGACUUGUCGAAUGUUAUCUUGAUAAUCGAUGACUCUUGAUGGGUAGAGUUGGAAUUGUUUCAAUCCAUCGAAAAAAGUUUCAAUAAUAUUGUAAUAGGGAUCAUAGUUGUUGGGUAUAAAAUAUCUCCAGCCGAAGUUCGUAAGAGGCCGACCCUCCCAGGACUCUUCCGGCUUCCGACCUUGUGUGGCAUCUUUCUGAACUCCCCUGGUCGUCCGAGCUUCCACAGUACCAUCCGGACUCCCCCAGC